GACGUAGGGCGCGAGCGUUGUCCGGAUUUAUUGGGCGUAAAGAGCUCGUAGGCGGCUCGUUGCGUCGGCUGUGAAAACCCGCGGCUCAACCGUGGGCUUGCAGCUGAUACGGGCGGGCUGGAGUUCGGUAGGGGAGACUGGAAUUCUCGGUGUAGCGGUGAAAUGCGUAGAUAUCGAGAGGAACACCUGCGGCGAAGGCGGGUUGCUGGGCUGACACUGACGCUGAUGCGCGAAAGCUAGGGGAGCGAACGGG
rnacentral:rRNA from 1 species